UGAACAGGAAGUCGAUGCCCAAGAACCACGGGCCGCGGAAGAAAAAGUUGCACCCGACCACCCUAAGGAGGUCGGUGCACCAAUCAUGGAGGUGGUCGAGGUUGAGCAGAAGCCCCAGGAGCACCUGACGAGCGGCCAAUCCACCGGGACGCUUGACCUCCUAAAGACUUGGCCGAAGUAGCAGAAGAAGACGAAACAGACGAUAAAGAGAUGGACCUCAGGGUACGAUCGCAAGAAAGCCUUGGCAGCCGCGAAGCAAUUGCCGGCCAUGGCUGCUGUCGGAGAAGACAUGCUAUCAGUUUACAGAAGGAUAUGCCGUAUCUGUAUGGCGAUCGGUGCUGCUUCCACAUCAACCUUCCUAAAUGGUUGAGAUCUGCAAAGGCGAUGAGUGGGAAGGGACGGCGAGGGAAAACGACAUACCGACAGACACGUCAAGCCUACCAGCACGGCGAUCUCUCCGGCGCUGACUGCAGCCACUGCAGUUAUACUCGUUCCGAAUGAUGCAAUCCGGUCCACACCAAGAGGAGGUACUGGUUCAGCCACGUCGUGUGGUAACUCGAGACGCGUACAAUUCUUUCAUGACGAGCUCAAGGGAAACACCAUGCACACCGUGCAUUCAUUGUCAUACGAAGGUCGACAAAGGAUCGCAACUCAUCGGUCAAUUAGCCAACAGCCUCGUUCAAGAUGUAUUUAGUUUUUGUUUGCAUCUACUCUCGCUGAGACGGUCUUUGCAUUAGUGGUGUUGAAAAGGUUCGAACCGAAUCAUUAUUGAAUUAAAUUAAAAAAUAAUUGGAUUCAAUUAAAGUAAGAUACUUUUGAAACUAAAUCAUUUUGGAUCUAUUUAAUUGAACUAGUUUAAAAUCGGUUAAUCCGAUUCUAUUAACCGAUUAACUAGUUUUUAAUUUUAAAUAAUUUAAAAAUAUAUAUUUCAAAUAAAUGGUACUGUUGGAUUUGAUGAAUCGGUUCAGUUUAAUUGAACCAAAUUAGAAUUUUGAUCCAAUUGGACUUAUAUUUUUAAAAUAUUUAUAUCACAAAUAUCAUUCUAAGUAAUCUAAAUAAUUGAAUCUAUCACAAAUAUCAUUGUAUGUAAUCUAAAUUAUUGAACCUAUGCAUAAGUAAUUUUUAUUUUUUAUUGAAAGAUGUUAUAGAGGAAUAACGACUUUGUUUUUUUGACGAAGAUAUACAGUGAUGUAUAUGAAUCAACAAAGAAAUUUAUACAAGUCAAUAAAAGGAUUAUUAACACAGAAGAAUUAUAAAAAAGAUAGAGUUUAUACUUCAGACAAGAGUGUAAGGCCAAUAAUAAGAUAGGAGGAAGAGCACAAAGACGAAGGAAGAGUGGUGAACUCGUAGAGUUUGGAAAGAUAUUUUAGAGUGUUUAGGGUAUUUGGAUUAAGUUGGUAUUUUAAAAUUAAAAUCGAUUCAGUUUGAUCUAAAAAGAAUAUCCUCUCAAUUUAUAUUAUUCUAGACUAAAUUAUUGAUGAAUCGGAUUUGAUUUAGAUUUAAUUCGGGAUUGACUCGAUUUUCCAGUUCUAUGUAAACACACUACUUUGCAUCAAAUCAGAAAUGAUGAAACGAAGAUACGCACACCCAACUGUUUUUGUGGUUGUUGCGAGACUUCCAAUGCUAUAGUUAAAGCUUAAUGCCCACCCAACUAGUAUGUGAUUAUCUUUACUCCAAAUCGACAAUAGCUAAUGCAGAUCAACAUCCAACAAAGGAAAUGCUGAUUGAGUACUAGUGACAAUGGGAGGAGUGGACCACCCAACUGCUAUUGGUACGUGAGGAGUGGACCACUCAACUACUAUUGUUACGUGACUAAACCCUAAACAUGAUAAUUAAGUAAUAGAUGUUAAUGCAUGUUUUGGCUCUUCGGAACACCAUCCAAACCCCAAAGGUUGUAAGCCUUGCAAAACUUGUUGACUUUGCCGUCCACCACAAUGCAAACCAUACUAGUUAUCGUCCACCACCCGCAACCUGUGCUUUGCCGUCCACCACAAUGCAAACCAUACUAGUUAUCGUCCACCACCCGCAACCUGUGCUUUGCCGUCCACCAUGCAAACCAUAAAAGGUUGUUAGUUUUUAUGGAGCAUACUCCACCGACAGUGUUGCAUCUGAAUCAUCUUAUCAUUAGAAUCACAGCCCAUGAUUCUAUGAUAGGCUUAAUUGUUUGCCUCUUGCAUCUUCUUACCUCCACAAAUACUUCGAUCCAAAUCGGUAAGGAAGACGUCUUGCUCUGCUUUUUGUUAUUGAUGACCUUGUGGAGCUUUGAAAUAUCUGUAAGAUUAUAUAACCCUAUUUAAUUAAGUAAGAUAUAUUAUAGAUAUUAUUGGAUUUUGAUUAUGGUUAUUGGCCAAUAAAAAAGAAGUCCAUGUUAAAGUAGGAUUCCUUAGGAAAUAACCUUGAGGGAAAAACUCUCAUAAUAACUUAUCCUAAACCCUCUACUCUCGUCUAUAAAUAGACAGGACCUCUAAGGGUUAAGUGUGUAUCUGAGUAGCAUUAAUUGAGAGAUUAAGAUUUUUUAGAUUCGAAGAUAGAGCGUUUGUAGAUCAGAUAAGGUUUAUUCUUCCGAACAACAAGAAAGGUACGUAUCGUAAUAUUGUUAGAUUCAAUUUAUUUGAUUUCAAUCUUGGCAUAAAAGUUUUUCCGCAUUACAGAUAUUACAGAUAGCAUGAUUACAGAUUUUAUGCUAACAAUUAGUAUCAUAGCCAAGUUCUUAAAAUCAAAUAUAUUGAAUUUAUUAUUUUUGAUUACGAUGCCUGAAUGAUUCGUCGGAUAUUAUUGAUAUGUUUUUUCUAUAUGAUUUGCUCUAUUAUUGAUUAUGAGUAAUGUAUAAUUUUAUGUUUGAUCGAUGAAUUUAUUGUUUACUAUCAUUGAUGUUAUUGAGAUGAUCAUCUCUGUUGAUCGUUGUCAACGAAGGGCCAUGUACCACCCCACAACCGCGCAUCACGGUCGUGCACUGGCAACAGUUUGCUUGCGAGCAGUGGCAGCACCACGGGAAUCUCGCACCGCUUAUGAACGCAGUGCCUACAAAAGGGCGAUGGCCAAGCGCGGGCAGGAACCGCGACAGCCGCGCGCAGAUAGUGGCAACGGUCGUGCGCGAGCACAGGUGGCACAGGCAGCGCCGCGGCGUGGCAACCGUGCACUGGCGACGGCCAUGCAUGGGUAGGCCAUGCAUAGGCGACAGCCACGCGCGGGCAGGAACCACCGCAGCGGCCGCUCAUGGGUAGAGGUAGCCCCAGCGGCGGCAGCGGCCGCACGUUGGCAACAGCCGCGGCCAGCCGUGCGCGCCCUCCGCAGGAACGGUCGGGAGCGAGCAACGGUAGCGCAGCGGCGGCAAGGCAGAUUAGGGUUUUUGGUAUAAUUAUGGUUUUGACCUCGAAGCUAGAGUUUUACAAAAUUAUAGUUCUGCCCUUUGCAAAUUUCAUAAUUCCAGUUUAUGUUCUGUCAACAUAUUUAUAGUUUUACCCUCGGGUCUAAUUUUUGCCAAAUUAUAGUUCUCCCCUUCAUAAAUUACAUAUUUUCGAUUUAUAUCCUAUCAAAUAUUUAUAGUUUUAUCAUUAUGAAAUUGAGAAAUUUGGUUUAUAUUUUCAAUUAUAAAAUCGAUAAAUAUGAUUUAUUAUAAUUAUGAUUAAAUUUAAUCAUUAUUAUAGUUUUGAUUAUUUAAUUAGAUUUAAUUUUGAUUAAAAAACUAUAAAUUAUGGUUUAUUUUAUAAUUUUCUCAUAUGAAUUAUUGAUUAUACAUGUGGUAAAUAAAAUCUAAUUAUUGUUCUUGGAUAUUUAUUUAGUUAUUCACAUGUAUAUAUUUGAAAUUAUGAAAUAAUAUUUACCUUUCAUAUGAAGGCAUGAUUUAUAUGUUAUCAUGAUUAUCAUAUGAGUUUUCUUUUGCUGAUUAAUAUUCAAUAAUUAUUAUGAUUAUUAUUCUAUUAUUAAACUACUUAGCAUUAAUGUUCAAUAAUUAUUAUGGUUGUUAUUCUAUUAUUGAACUGCUUAGCAUUAAUGUUCAAUAAUUAUUAUGAUUGUUAUUUUAUUAUUGAACUACUUAACAUUAAUGUUCAAUAAUUAUUAUGAUUGUUAUUCUAUUAUUGAACUACUUAGCAUAAAUUAAAGAAAUUUGAUUAAUAUUAUUUGUAAUUCACCUCCCUAAGUUUUAUCUGACUUGUAGUUGCCAAAGAGGCUUGGAAUGAUAGACUUUUGUGAUAUGAAUUACAAUAAAAGUUUUAUCAUCUAUAGGACAUUUUAGAUUGUAUUUUAUAUUUUUGUAUUGGUCUCACCAAAGUGACCUGGACCAAUAAUUUAUAAAAUAUAUUAUGAAAUUAGUCAUAAAUGAUAUUAAAUAAAAUAAUAUUCACAAUGGCAGCAUGAAUCAGAAAUUUAGUGAAUAUUAUUUAUAAUUUAUCUUCCUAGAUCGGUGUGGCAGAAAGGAUGAACAGAACCAUUGAAGAAAGGAUUAGGUGUAUGCUUUCCCACGCCAAGUUACCAAAGUCAUUUUGGGGGAGGCUAUGAGAACUACAGUUGAUCUGAUAAAUCUUUCUCCAUUAGUUCCUUUGAAAGAUGAUAUUCCAGAGAGAGUAUAGAGAGGAAAAGAUAUAUCUUAUAAUCACUUAAGAGUCUUUGGGUGUAAAGCAUUUGUUCAUAUUCCCAAAGAUGAGAGGUCCAAGCUUGAUAGUAAAGCAAAAGCAUGUAUCUUCUUGGGAUAUGUUCAUGAAGUGUUUGGGUACAGAUUAUGGGAUCCAAUGAACAAGAAGAUUAUUAGAAGCAGAUGUUGUGUUUCUUGAAGACCAAUUAUUUGAUGAUGGUGAUAAUAUUGAGAAGCCAAAAACCUUUGUUUAUAUUCCUUGGAGUUUGGGUCCAGUUCCUUCACCUGUAGUUCAUGAUGAUCAUGGGGGAGAUGAACAAGAAGAUUGUGGUGAGAAUACUAGUGAUGAUACACCUACAGUUGAUGAUACUGAACCAACUGAACAAGCACCUCCACCACCAAUUGAGAUUCCAUUAAGAAGAUCCACUAGAGAGCGACAACCAUCUACCAGAUAUCCUCCACAUGAGUAUGUUAUGCUUACUGACGGGGGAGAGCCAGAAACUUACCAAGAAGCUAUUCUACAUGAGAAUAAGAAUGAGUGGGUUAAAGCCAUGCAAGAAGAGAUGAGAUCCUUGCUUGAGAACCACACCUAUGACUUGGUAAAGUUGCCUAAAGAGAAGAAAGCUCUCAAGAAUAAGUGAGUUUACAAAUUGAAGACUGAAAACAAUAGCUCACAACAAAGAUACAAGGCACGACUAGUUGUGAAAGGAUUCAGUCAGAAAAAAGGUAUUGACUUUGAAGAAAUAUUUUCUCCAGUUGUGAAAAUGUCCUCUAUUCGAGUUGUUCUUGGUUUAGUUGCCCGCUUGAAUUUAGAAGUUGAGCAUCUUGAUGUAAAAACAAUAUUUCUUCAUGGUUAUUUGAAAGAAGAAAUUUACAUGGAGCAACCAGAAAGUUUCAAAGUCAAGGGAAAAGAAAAUAUGGUGUGUAAGCUUAGGAAAAGCUUAUAUGGACUCAAAUAGGCACCUAAACAGUGGUAUAAGAAGUUUGAUUACUUUAUGAUGAGCCAAGGGUAUGAUAGAACCACAUCUUAUCAUUGUGUGUUUAUGAAGAAAUUUUCAAAUGAUGAUUUUAUUAUUUUACUGCUAUAUGUUGAUGAUAUGCUGAUUGUUGGCCAUGAUGUUGGAAAAAUUGGAAAGUUUAAAAGAGAACUAAGUAAGUCUUUUGCCAUGAAAGACUUGGGAUCGGUGAAACAAAUACUUGGCAUGAAGAUUCUUCGUGAUAGGAAGAAAAGGAAGAUUUGGCUAUCUUAGGAGACUUACAUUGAAAAGGUUCUUGAAAGAUUCAAUAUGAGUAAAGCCAAAGCAGUUUGUUCUCCACUUGUAGAUCAUUUCAAGCUUAGUUCGAAAUAAUGUCCUACAAGUGAAAAAGAAAAAGAAGAAAUAUCCAGAGUGUCUUACUCAUCUGCAGUAUGUAGUUUGAUGUAUGCUAUAGUUUGUACUAGGCUAGAUAUAGCUCAUGCAGUUGGAGUUGUCAGCCGAUUUCUCUCUAAUCCUAGAAAGGAACAUUGGGCAGUAGUGAAAUGGAUAUUAAGAUAUCUAAGAGGUACUUCCAUGUUUUGUUUAUGUUUUGGCAGUGAUGAACGUGUGUUAGAAGGUUACACAGAUGCAAACAUGGCAGGUGAUACUGAUUCCAGGAAGUCCACUUCGGGAUUCUUGAUGACAUUUGCAGGAGGAGCAGUCUCUUGGCAGUCUAAGUUACAGAAGUGUGUUGCUCUAUCAACCACAGAAGCAGAAUAUAUAGCAAUUACUGAGGCCUGCAAGGAAACUUUAUGGAUGAAAAAGUUUCUAUAGGAAUUGGGCUUGAAACAGGAAGGAUAUACUGUUUACUGUGAUAGUCAAAGUGUCAUUCACCUCUCCAAGAAUUCAACAUACUAUUCUAGAUCCAAGCAUAUUGAUGUGAGAUAUCACUGGAUUCGUGAUUUGCUUGAGAUGAAAGAAUUACAGUUGGAAAAAGUACAUACUAAUGAGAAUGGAUCAAAUAUGUUGACAAAGUCUUUGCCUAAGGAGAAGCUUGAAGCAUGUAGGCGAAGAGCGGGCUUGGUACAACCCCCCAUAUGAGCUGGAGGGGAAGAAUUGUUAGGUCCAGCCCAUAUGUGGGCUUGGACAAAUUGGGUUGUUUGAGCCCAAAUCAAAUAAAUUAAAAAGAGAGAGAGAAAGGGCAAAAUUAGUAAGUGCAGCGUGCGUGUGUGCAUGUGAGCAUGCAUAGUGCGGCGGCGUGUAGAGAAAAGAGGAGAGAGAAAUAGAGAGAGAAAGUAAGGUUUCUGAGUUUUCUGCUUGACGAUCGGUGGCCAAAUGUUAUCAGUUUUGGCCCAAAUUUUAUGUGAAGAAUCUUUGCAACAAACUCUAUAAUCCUAAUGGUGUUGAUCUAUAUUUUACCCUCUCUAAGGUAUUUUCUUGUUAUAUCUAUUUUGUAAGACCUAGAAUUCUCUUAUGAGAAGAUCUGAUGAAGAUAUGCUAUUCUUGAGCCAAGAUCUAUGAUCUUGAUGUUAUUCUGAUCCUCUAGUUAUUCUAGAGAAGAUCUAUUGUAAACCUGUUAUCAUUACUAUUGAUAGUAGAAGUUUGAGGUGGACUACGGUCCCGUGGUUUUUCCCAUAUUAGGUUUUCCACGUUAAAAGAUUUGGUCUCACUAUGUGAUUGAUUUUUACUCUAUUAUUUAUGAUGUGCUGGUUGAUAUUUACAUUUGGAUACCAAGUUGGUAUUUUGAUGAGGAACCCAUUUUGAUACACAAAGAGGGAAACGAAUAUUCUGCUUUAACAGGUUUUUUUCUUAAUAGGUACCACCACAUAGAACAUCUAGGAGAUUAAGUCCCAAGCGGUGCCACUACCGACCUUGGUGAUGCCACCGCCAGCCAUGACUUCAAGUGCUGAAUUGGCUAUUCAAUCCAGCCCAAUUCAGUCCUAUUAAGGGCCUAGUUGGUCCCUAACUGAAUUAAUGGGAUUACCUCCUAAUCCUAACUCAACUUAAGGUCUAAAUACAAUAAUUAAGAAAUUUAACAAAGCAUUCUUGUUCCGGUUCGUCAAUUGUUCUUCCAGCGAGCUUCCGACGAUCUUCCAACGAACUUCCGACGAUCUCUCGAUAAUGUUCCGGUGGACUUUCAGCAAGUUCCUAGACUUCACGACGACCUUCUUGGUGAGUUCCAAUUAGCUUCUUUGGCAAGCUCCUAGACUUCUCGGUUAAUUCCGAUGAAACUUCUAACGUAUGUCCGGACUUCCGACGAACUCUCGAACUCCCAACGAAAACUUGAUCUUGACUCUAGCAUAACAUUUGCUUUGUGUAUUACUGCUAUUGUAGUUAAUCCUGCACACUUUUCUCAAUAUAUAGAUUAGAUCAAACAAUUAACCAAUUGAUUUCAUCAUCAAAAUAUGAGAUUCAACAUUUAUCACUUUAUAUUGCUUGUUGCAUAUAUGCAUAUGUAUAUUGUGAUGUCCAUGGAUCUAUACAAUAAGAAUUAGAUUAUGAUAAGAUCAUGAUAAUGAGACCAAUUUACCUUUAAACACAGAUCCUAAACAAUCCCGAUUAUAGGUUACUCGAGAGGGACAUCGAGAUAACCAAACAAACUGGUGUGCUAUAUACCCAUACAUAUGAUGGAGGCAGUAGUCUCAUAGCUACUCGUGUGGGGACACUAUGGCUAUAGUGCAAGUGCUUAUGGGAAAAUAAGUUCACUGAUUGAUCUGCUCAUAAAAUACGAAUGGUUAAUGAUACUUGAUUGUCAGACAGCGAUUUCGUUGUCCUAGUGGUAUAUUUGGUCCCUAGACUUGAGACACUAAGGAUGUCCUAUAUGAGUACUCCUUCUUUGAUACUAGAAUUAUAAGUUUGAAAAUUCCAAAUCUAGUGCUAGGAUCAAGUCGGUACUAAGAGAGGGUGGGGGGGGGUGAAUUACUGCUUACGAUAAAAUCAUGUUGAUUUAAAAAAUUCUUGUUCGAUAAAAAUCGAUAUCGGAAAGCGUUUAAUUUAAAAAUGCAUUCAUAAGCAUAGUGAAAGUAGUAAGGAGGUAAAUCAGUUUGCAAUAUGAGAAUGACAAUAAAAAGUAAAACAGAAAUGCAAAUCAAGUUUUAUAGUGGUUUAGUCGUCGUGACCUACGUCCACUCCCGAUUCCUCUUCACUCGAGGCCACCGGCUACUACUACCCAAUCUUCUUUCAAUGGACGAAGAUCAACUACCCUUUUACACCUCUUUUCUCUUUUUUAUAGGUUUAGGAGAUAACCUUUACAACCACUCACCCUUCUCUUAAACUUCACCCAACACUUAGAGCUUGAGAGGAGUUCUCACAAUAUUACAAUAUCGUUUUCCUUUCUUUUUUCUCUCAGUUGAUGUGUUUUUCAUGUAGGGAUGAGUGAGGUUCUUAUAGGCCUCAAAUGGAUUCAAAUUUAGAGCCAAAAUAAUCUCAUCCCUACUUUUCGAGGUACUAGCAGUACAAUUGUCAGUAUUGGGUGGUACUAUCGCCUGACACUGACACUGGGCGGUACCACCACCUAGUCUGGUGGUACUAUCACCUGAUAGAGCCUCGGAGAUUAGACUCUAGCGAUACCACUACUUGAUAGCCAUUUAUGGCCGAUGGUACCACUGCCCAAUUUGGGCGAUACUAUCGCUCAGACUCCUAGGAGGUUGAUAGAACCCUUGUAGAUUCUAAGCUUGGGGUUAAUCUCUUUAGAGGAUCGACCUUCUUGGAACUCUAUAGGGGUUCCUUCCUCCAAAUUGCUGCUUAAAGGCUAUAGAAAAAAUUCAUCUAUUGCUUGUUAAAAGAGGAUGAAUAUAUAGCUAUUUAUAGGGCUUCUAAACCCUAACUCAUAAUAAGACUCCUACUCAAGACUCCUAUUCCUUUACAACUCCUAAUGCUUCUCUAAGAAAUAACCUCGUAACCCUAGCUGGCCUCUUCACCUCUUUAAUAGGGGUCAGCUAGGUAGGUUAACAUGAAUGCUCCUCUCUAUUAGAACUCUCCUCGCUAGAGUCCUAACAGACCCGCUCUCUUUAAAUUAGCCUUGUUCUCGAGGCUAACAAUUCAUGAAUUCUGGGAAUUUGAUCUUCAAGUCAUCAUAGUUCUCCCAAGUGGCACCUUCUGCUAGUAAGUUCGCCCACUUUAUUAGCACUUCAGUAGUGGGUCAUCGUCGUCGAGUCACGACCCGUCGAUCAAUAAUGGCACUCGGCUGAGUCUAGAGUUCUCCUUGGGUAGUCAUAUUUGGUGGAUGGCUUUGGGCUAUCUCCAAGCACCUGUUCAUCACUUCCGUCUGGCCAUCGGUUUAUGGGUGAUAUGUCAUACUCCUUUUCAAUUUAGUGCCUUGCAUCUGGAAUAACUCUGUCCAAAAUCUGCUCGUGAAGAUGCAAGUAGAAUUUGGCACAAGCACAAUGCAUCUCUUAUAGCACAAUCCUUUAUGUCCCAACUGUAAUGAGCCACGAAGCUUGGUGCUUCCUCCAAUUUUUUUAUGAUCUUACUAGUCUCUGAAUCUUCCUACCAUUCCCUCUUAAUAUUCUCAAGGAAGUCGCUGGUCGGAAGUGAAACGGUCGAAAAUUCAACUUGCUCGGGUAGUUGCGAAAGCCUAUUUGCAAUAAUAUUCUCUUUCCCCUUUUUGUAAGUUAUUUCAUAAUCAUAUCCAAGAAGCUUUGUUACCCAUUUUUGCUGCUCGGGGGAAGAUAUCUUCUGCUCUAAGAAAUUUUUUAGGCUUUUAUGGUCGGCCUUAAUUUGAAAGCAUCGCCCGAUCAAGUAUAGUCUUCACUUGGCCAAGUCUUCACUUGGCCACCACAUGCACAAUCGCAAUCAUCUCCUCGUCGUAAAUAGUCAUCUUGAGAUGGGAAGGCGAUAACACCUUACUGGUAUAAGCGAGCGGGUAGCCAUCUUGUAUUAGUACAGCACCAAUUCCGACUCCAGAGGCAUCAGCUUCAAUAACAAAAGUCUUACCGAAGUCGGGUAGCGUUAGUACGAGCAUUGUCAUCAUGGCUGCCUUAAGUUUGUCAAAGGCAGCAGAGGCUUUGUCCGACUAUUGGAAGACAUCUGUUUUCAGUAGAAAAGUGAGGGGUGCACUAAUCUUCCCAUAGUCCUUAACAAAUUUUCGGUAGUAGCCCGUUAGUCUAAGGAACCUACGUAGUAAUUUCACAUUUGUAGGUUUUGGCCAGCCUUGCAUUGCUUCAAUUUUUGUUGAGUCUACCGCCACUCCUUCUGAUAUUAUGUGCCCAAGGUACUCUACUUUUUGCUGGAGAAAACUGUACUUUGGUUGCUUAACAAAAAGAGUAUUCUCCCGAAGGAUCGUUAAAACAACCCGUAAAUACUGAAAGUGAGUGUCAAGAGAAGGGCUGUAAAUGAGAAUAUCAUCGAAAAAUACCAGCACAAAUUUACGAAGAAAGCUCCAAAAAAUAUCGUUCAUGAGACUUUGAAAGGUUGAAGGAGCAUUAGUGAGUCCAAAAGGCAUUACCAAGAAUUCAUAAUGGUCGUUAUAUGUGCGGAAUACAAUUUUAGGAAUGUCGUCUUCACAUACCCGAAUUCGAUGGUAACCGGAUCGGAGGUCCAACUUCGUGAAGAUUCGAGCUCUUUUUAACUCAUCAAGAAGUUCAUCCACCACUGGUAUUGAGUAUUUGUUCUUGAUGGCGAUGUCAUUUAAAGCUUGAUAGUUAAUACACAUCUAUCAAGUUUCGUCCUUCUUGCAUACAAGCAGCAUCGAUGAGAAAUAGGGGUUACAACUUGGCUGAAUCACUCCUGCUUAAAGCAUCUCCUUUAUGAUCUUUUCAAUUUCAUUCUUAUGGAGGUGCGCAUAUCGGUACCACUUAGCAUUUUGAAAAAAACAAAAACAAGUAGCACCGUGGACAUGUGGUAGCCGUGGAGUUAUGGAAUGGGUUGAAUAUUGUCCUAUUGCUGGGGGUGCACAGCACUGUAUGUGUUGUUUCUUCGUAUCAUCUACACGUGGAUGUCUCUUCGUAUAUAUUUAAAAUAAAUUAAGGUUCUUUUUAAUCCUCAUAAAUCGUGGAUCAUUUAAAUUCUUAUAAUUUAUUCAUAUCUACAAUAAUUUUUACAUCAUCUAAAAUAAUUAAGAAUAAGCUUACAAUUUUAAAAAUUACUAGAGUAAAAAAAUAAUUUAAUUUAAACUCAAACUUUCUAGGGUUAAAAUGCUUGGCGAAGGUUCUAUUCUACGAGCGUGGUUGACAAAUCAAAUCUUUGUAGCUGAUGUGAUCACGUCAAAAAGAGAAUGUUUGGCUGAGAGAAAACACAAUUAAUUUGGAUAAGAACAACAAAACAGACCAGUUUUAGAAUAAUAUUUAUUUCUUAUCCUAAUCUCAAUAUGAUUGAGACUAGACUGGUGAUGUACGCCAACAUUCUAAAGAACCAAUGGCACAGAGAGAAGAAAAUAUCUCACCAAUCAAAGAUGACGAACCCCAUGCAGCAUUGACGACGCCUAAACUGCAGCUAUUCGAUUUCACUGACAGUAAGACGAGUUAGUAGUUUUCUUGCUCCAGUCUAUAUUUAUACCUUCGUGAGAUGAUGACAAUCAUGUCUGAAUCUCGUGUACUUUAGUAGUUCUUUCGUUCUUUCUUUAAAAGUUCUCAUAAGCACCUUGGAUACUCGUGGAAAUGCUUAUUUGUCGUGGACAUGUGGUGGCCAUGGAGUUAUGGAAUGGGUUGAAUCUUGUCUUGUCCUAUUGCAUGGUGGGGGUGCCCAGCACUGCAAGUGUUUGUUUCAUCUUAUCAUCUACACGUGCAUGUCUCAUCGUACAUAUUUAAAACAGAUUAAGAUCCAUUUUAAUCAUAAACUUUUACUUGUGUCUAAAAUAAUUUUUAUAUUUUAAAAAAUAUAAUAUAUAAAACAUCAUCUCUAAAUUAACUAACAUUAAAAUCUAUUUACAUGAUAUAUUAAUUCAUAAUAGAUCAUUAAUAUAAUAAUAUAUAUAAUUUAAGUUUAAAAAAAAUUUAAGAUAUAUUUUAACUCUUAUGGUUUUGGUCAUAGACCACUUAAGUCCUUAUGAUUUACUCAUAUAUAAAAUAACUCAUAUAUUUUUAAAAACAUUACAUAUAAACCCCUCGCUUCAAGUUUGAGUUAAUAGACAUUAAAAUAUACUCAUAAUAAAUUAUUCAUAUAAUAACAUAGAUAAUUUAAAUUUAAAAAAUAAUUAAGGUCUAUCUUAUCAAGGAAGAGGAAGCAAUGGAGAUUAUAGUGAUAAAGAUAAGAGAGAUCGAAUGUGGAGGUGAGAGAGAGUUGAACCACCACAUUGUAGGCGUGACGGGUUGGGGGGGCAAGAGAGGACGAAGUGGGAGGUUGUGGGGAUAAAAAUACUCAAGAGGAGGAAGAGGGACUAAGAGACCACUGCGUGCCUAGCAUCGGACUAGUCGACGCACAUCCACUUGAGGUAGGACUAGAAGCUCCUAAGCUCAUCGUUAACACGGGAGAAGCUACGUGUGUACGACACCCUACUAGGCAAUAGCGACUCAAUGCUGCUGUUGGUGGUUUCUUCCAUGAUGACACCUCCUCCUACCAUUGAUGAUGGUCUUAAUUUCUUUUAAAAACUUAAAUUACAUGUUAUUAUAUUAAUGGUUUAUUGUGAGUCAGCAUGCCACAUAAGUAGACUACGUCUGUUAACUUAAACUUGAUAAGAGGAGCUUAUAUGCUAUAUUUUUUAAAAUAUAAAGGUUAUUUUAGACAUGAAUAAAUCAUAAGGGCUUAAGUAGUCCAUAACCAAAACUAUACGAGUUAAAAUAUAUCUUAAUCAUUUUUUAAACUUAAAUUAUAUGUAUCAUUAUAUUAAUAAUUUAUUAUGAGUCAGUAUUCCACAUAAGUAAUUCUAAUAUUUGUUAACUCAAACUUAAUAGGAGAAGCUUAUAUGUUCUAUUUUUGAAACUAUAUAGGUUAUUUUAGACAUGAAAAAAUUAUAAAGGUUUAAGUUGUCCAUAACCAAAAUCAUAAAAGUUAAAAUGGAUCUUAACCCUAUUUAAAACAGUAGACUCAUCAAUUUUUAUACAUCAAUUGGAAUAUUUGGUCACAUAAAUUCAUGCAAUAAAAUUUUCAUUUAAAUACUUGAUAUUUUCAUAAAAAAUAAUAUAACCCAAAAUUAAACCCAAACAUAAAAUUCAGCUCAAUGAUGAUGUCAUGUCAUGCUGCGUCUUUCGACAUCAUCACUCCUCCGUUAGCGCUCACCAUAUGAAAUAUUAGAUAAUUUUGAUAUUGCCUGCCCAUUGCCUUAUUGAGCAUGAAUCACUAAAAUGUAUAACCCAAAUUAACGAUAGAUACAUCCCUUAAUUAUUUAUUAAAACAUGCACUCUAAUCCUUUAUGGAUUGGAUCGAAAAAAAUAAUAUCAUAAUCAUCUUAUAUGGGAUUAAAUAAUACAUCAUUUUGAAAAUUUGAUGGAUGUAACAUUGAUAAUUUCGAUUUAAAAAUUUGGGUCAAUAAUUGAGACUCGUCAAUAUAUAUAUAUAUAUAUAUAUAUAUAUAUAUAUAAGUUAUCCAUUAAUAUCGUGAUAUUGUAUUUGAAAUGCAUGUCACUUUCGGAACGCAUGCUGUUUCCUGUACUUAUAUGGCCUAGUGUAGGCAACCAACCGGGAAAUACGUGGACAUGAGGAUGCGCGCCCUCUCAUGUUGAUGUAGACCUCAUUGAUUGAUGCCAAGAUUAAUGCGAGUGACAAGUACUUAAAAGGGCACCCCACACUAAAAAAUAAAAAUAAAAUAAUGAUUUCAAAGGACUUGCAAACUACACCUCAUUCAACUCCGGAGAUAAAUGAUUCCGUGCACCAAUAAUUCAAACCACGAAAUUUGUGCAGAGUGGCUUAUUCAUAUGAUAUGUCACAUUCUGACGAAAAUUUGUGGGAGUGGAUACACGACAUGCUUCCAUCAAUUAAAAUGGAAAGUAGAUAUACAGUGAGUGGACGUAUAUUAUUUGAUGCCUUAAAUUUAUGGCUUGCAAAUUGCAUUUUAUUUAGCUUAACUUUAACAGGAUAACAGUACAAGCAGGCACACUUGAUUAACAAGCUAAAAUCAAAGAUGCAAGCACUUACUGAGUUCCAUAGAACAAACAUUACUGUUGUUGAUCAUCACCAGCUCUCCUCUUGAUCUUCACCCUCAGGCCAUUUUUCAGGUGAAGGAUGAUUGAAAGCUUUGGCUCGACCACAUGACCUGGAAGCACUUGAACUUGGAAGUUGUAGACCAUGGCAGCCACCACUGCCUUCAUCUGAGUGAAGGCCACUUCCUUCCCCAGGCAGGUCCUGGGGCCCGAAUUGAACGGCAUGAACUUGUAAGAUGGCUCGUGCCGCACCCGCCCCUUCUCCGAGAUCCAUCUCUCGGGCCGGAACUCCAAGCAGUCCUUUCCCCAUAUCCCUUCCAUCCUUCCCAUCGAGUACAGGGAGACCAAGAUCUUUGUGCCUGCUUCAACUCUGUGUCCACUCGGGAGGAUUUCGUGUCGCAGAGCUGCCUUGUGCUCGAAGGGAACGGGAGGGAACAGCCUGAGCGACUCGCAGAGGGCUGCAUGCAGAUAGACCAACUUGCUCAGCUCCUCGGUGUCGAAUAUGGUCAUAUCAUUGGAACUCGAUCUCUGUUUUCGCAAGGGUGUCGAACUCAAUUCCUCGAGGAUCUUGGACUCCACCAAGGGAUUUUUGCAGAGCAGCCAGAAGAACCAUGUGAGCGCUGCACCAGUUGUGUCCCUCCCGGCAAGCAUGAAGUUCAUGGCGGUGUCACGGACGAACUUGUCGAACUCGGUCGAUCCUUGUCGAUGGCUGUCUUGCUGCUCUUCAUCGUCGUCGUCGUUGAUGUAAGACGAUAGUAGAUCGGCUUUUGCUUCGCUUCCAACGUCUUUUUUAUUCCUGAGGCUUCUUAGUUUCUUCUUCUCCGCGAUGCUUUCCGCUAUAUAACGGUCUAUUACCUUCCAUGACAUCGCCAACUUCUUCUCGUCCCCGAUCCUCAGCCAUCUCGCCAACUUCCACCAGGCCGGCGGUACCGUAUGCCGGAGCAACAAGGCGCCCAUGGCGUCGUCAAUGGCUCUUGCGAACGGGACUGUUGGCAACCCGAUGGAGAGGCAACAUGGAUCGACGCCGAAAACCAAGUAGGACGUGGCGUCGAAGGUCAACCUCAUGAACACAUCUUGCAAGUCCACCACCGCCCCUCGUCGCACGACAUCGUCCACGAGUGGGAUCAGUCCUUUCUCCACCUUGUUUCGAAUAGAACUGGCAACGAAGGACCGGAACCUGCGGCCGUUCAUGAGGCCGUGGGCCUUCAUCCUCUGCUUCUUCCACGACUCGCCGUCGGAGUUGAAGAUGCCAUCGCCGAGGAUAUCGAAGAUCUCCGAAAACUCCCCGCCUUUUGGGUAAUUCGAGAAGUUCGCACUGAAGACGUGUUGCAGAUUGGCGGGGUCGCAAGUGACCAGGUAAUCCAUGCCCAAGAACCACGGGCCGCGGAAGAAAAAGUUGCACCCGACCACCCUAAGGAGGUCGGUGCACCAAUCAUGGAGGUGGUCGAGGUUCAGCAGAAGCCCCGGGAGCAUCCCGGCGAGCGGCCAGUCCACCGGGAAGCUCGACCUCCUAAAGACCCGGCCGAAGUAGCAGAAGAAGACGAAGCAGAAGAUAGAGAGGAG
rnacentral:lncRNA from 1 species